rnacentral:lncRNA from 1 species
AGUGAAAGACAACCAUAUAAUUAAUAAUAGUAGCAAGUGCAAAAAUUCAAAUAACAAUAAAAUCAAAGAAAAACACCACCAAGUUCAAUACUUGAAAUAACGACAAAACAUAAGACAAAUGUCCUAAAUUUCUAAUCAUCUGCCUCUUAUCUUCAGUGUUAUCCAAUAUCCCUUCUCCUCUUCCCCUUCAAAGCAAGUCUUGUCAAAGUUAAGUAUUUCUUCAGUUUCUUCAGAUUCAAAGUUAGAGCUAUCAAAUUCCUAUUCAUCCUCAAUCCUAAAAUGAAUCUUUUAUUUGUCCUUCCUUCUUAGUGAGGCUAAAGUUGCAUCUCACCUUUCUUAGAAGCAUGGGAACAUCCAAUAACAAUACCUACCACCACUUGAUGGCUUUCUUUUAUUUUUUUUCUUUUCUCCUUGUAUAAAUUCUCGGUUGUUGGUAGAGGUUGGAUAGGAAGAAAGUGAGAAUACACGACAAAGAAUCAUUCAAGUCCUUUGAGAAAGUAGACGAUGAAAUCUUGAUUGUUAUAUGUUCUAGCUAGCUUCACAGGUACAAGGACUCAUGGGAUGGUAGUUUUCUAGUUUUUUCUAGAUUGAUUUCAGCUUGGUAUAGCAUUCGGUCACCAGGUAUGAGCCUUGUGCAGUAUCAACAGAGCUGUAGGAGCUUUGAUACCACAACAAAAACGGAUACUGGAAAAACUGGUUUGCUGAUAAAAGACAGUAUUGGAAAAGGCCUUUCACAUUUCUUAACCAUUAGCAACAUAUUGGGGAUAUAUGUAGUCUAGUUAUUCCAGCUCAUCAAAAGGAUAAGAUAGAAUCUAAGAGACAAGAAUUCAAAGAAAACCAAAUAUAAAAAAUACACUAAAGAUGACAGCUAUAACAACGGUGAAAGAAUAGCUCAAAACAGAUACAGUGUAAGGCAGCAAAAUUCUGGAGACUUAUAGGAGUUUCAAUUCUGUUGGGCAUGCUGUUUUUUGUGGGUUGAUCUUGCUUGAUGCGUUGUUGUUUUUUGAUAGAUUUGGCUCUUCUAAAGUGAGCAAGUGUAAAAUAAGUAAUUUUAGUUGCUAAUUAAGGAAAUUUUCCAUUGAUAUUUCAACACAUCAAUAAUUUGUUCUCCAUAUGCAUGUAAUUUUUACAGUUGACUUUCUCUUCAAUGAUUAGUAUUUGUUACUUUACCUUCUAAAGUUAGUUAGCUACUAAGUACCUUAUGAAUUUAUUCUCAAGGAAAUUAAAUUAUCUUUCUAUAACUAGAUUUCAAGAUAACUUUCACUAUGUUCACGUUACUAAUUUGUUCUUUUUUUAAUUUUAUGGUUGCUAUUGGUGUGAUAGAAACUUG